CAGAAAAUAGUUUAAUUAGAAUAAUAGCUUUGGGGGUUGUUGGUGUAGAUAUUAAGUUUUACUUUUCUGA
rnacentral:tRNA from 1 species